rnacentral:rRNA from 1 species
GACGAACGCUGGCGGCGUGCUUAACACAUGCAAGUCGAACGGAAAGGCCCUGCUUUUGCGGGGUGCUCGAGUGGCGAACGGGUGAGUAACACGUGAGUAACCUGCCCCUGACUUUGGGAUAACUUCAGGAAACUGGGGCUAAUACCGGAUAGGAGCUCCUGCUGCAUGGUGGGGGUUGGAAAGUUUCGGCGGUUGGGGAUGGACUCGCGGCUUAUCAGCUUGUUGGUGGGGUAGUGGCUUACCAAGGCUUUGACGGGUAGCCGGCCUGAGAGGGUGACCGGCGACCAUGGGACUGCGAUACGGCCCAGACUCCUACGGGAGGCAGCGGUGGGGAGUAUUGCACAGUGGGCCGACGCCUGAUGCGGCGACGCCGCGUGCGUGAUGACGGCCUUCGGGUUGUGAACCGCUUUCGCCUGUGACGAAGCGUGAGUGACGGUAAUGGGUAAGGAAGCACCGGCUAACUACGUG